UAAGGAAUAUUGCUCAAUGGGAGAAAUCCUGAAGCAGCAACGCCGCGUGGAGGAUGAAGGGUCUAUGACUUGUAAACUCCUGUAAAGAAGGAAAAAAUUCCCAUUUGAUGGGAGAUGAUGGUACUUCUGGAGUAAGCCCCGGCUAACUACGUGCCAGCAGCCGCGGUAAUACGUAGGGGGCAAGCGUUGUCCGGAUUUACUGGGUGUAAAGGGUGCUCAGGCGGAUUUGUAAGUCAGAGGUGAAAUCUUACAGCUUAACUGUGAAACUGCCCUUGAUACUGCAAGCCUAGAGUAUGGAAGAGAGUGAUGGAAUAUCUGGUGUAGCAGUGAAAUGCGUAGAUAUCAGAUAGAACACCAAUGGCGAAGGCAGUCACUUGGUCCAUUACUGACGCUAAAGCACGAAAGCGUGGGUAGCAAACA
rnacentral:rRNA from 1 species